AGAGAAUUCUGGGUAACUAGCCGUUUCCACCACCUUCCCCUGCCCCCGCCCCAAUUGUGGGUAACUGGCCAUUAUUGUUUUCCUCUGGGGAAUCCUGGGUAGCUAUUGGAGAGGAUUCUGGGAAAGUGACUUCUCGUUCUCCCCACCGUCCAACCCAUCCUUCCUCACCCCCAAUUCUGGGAGAAAGCACCUUAGAUCCCUCUACCUAACGCCAACCCCUGCAGUUCUCGCUCCCUUCACCUGAUGAUUCAGGGCUGAACCAGGCCAGGAUGUCCAUUCUAGGCCCACCGGUGCUGUCUUGCUGAAGGCUGGGUCAGGCGUCUAAAGGGACUGUGGUAAGGGAGGGUGUGACAUAGGUGUGAGCUGCCAUCGUCAUCAUGAACUUUGAGGGUCUGGACCCUGGACUGGCAGAGUAUGCCCCAGCCAUGCAUUCUGCCCUGGACCCUGUCUUGGAUGCCCACCUGAACCCAAGUCUGCUACAGAAUGUGGAGCUGGACCCAGAGGGAGUGGCCUUGGAGGCUCUUCCCGUCCAGGAAUCAGUGCACAUAAUGGAAGGUGUCUACUCUGAAUUGCACAGCGUGGUGGCUGAAGUGGGUGUACCUGUCUCCGUCUCCCACUUUGACUUGCACGAGGAGAUGCUGUGGGUGGGGAGCCACGGGGGCCAUGCCACUUCAUUUUUUGGGCCAGCCUUGGAGCGCUACUCAUCCUUUCAAGUCAAUGGCAGUGAUGAUAUUCGGCAGAUCCAGAGCCUGGAGAAUGGUAUCCUUUUUCUCACCAAGAACAAUCUCAAGUACAUGGCCCGUGGGGGCCUCAUUAUAUUUGAUUACCUGCUAGAUGAGAAUGAGGAUAUGCACAGUCUCCUACUGACUGACAGCAGCACUCUACUCAUUGGUGGGCUGCAGAAUCACAUACUAGAGAUUGAUCUUAACACUGUCCAGGAGACUCAGAAGUAUGCAGUAGAGACGCCAGGAGUCACCAUCAUGAGACAGACAAAUCGCUUCUUCUUCUGCGGCCACACGUCUGGCAAGGUUUCCCUGAGAGAUCUCCGUACUUUUAAGGUGGAACAUGAGUUUGAUGCCUUCUCAGGAAGUCUUUCAGAUUUUGAUGUGCAUGGCAACCUGCUAGCUGCCUGCGGCUUCUCCAGCCGCCUCACUGGCCUGGCCUGCGACCGUUUCCUCAAGGUGUAUGAUUUGCGCAUGAUGCGUGCCAUCACACCACUUCAAGUACAUGUGGAUCCUGCCUUCUUGCGCUUCAUUCCUACAUAUACUUCUCGUCUUGCUAUCAUCUCUCAGUCAGGGCAGUGCCAGUUCUGUGAACCCACAGGCCUAGCCAACCCAGCAGAUAUCUUUCAUGUGAAUCCUGUGGGGCCUCUGCUAAUGACAUUUGACGUGUCAGCCAGCAAGCAGGCCCUGGCGUUUGGGGAUUCUGAGGGCUGUGUGCACCUCUGGACUGAUUCCCCGGAGCCUUCCUUCAACCCCUACUCCCGUGAGACUGAGUUUGCUUUGCCGUGUCUCGUGGACUCACUGCCUCCUCUGGACUGGAGCCAGGACCUGCUGCCUCUUUCCCUCAUCCCUGUCCCACUCACCACUGACACACUUCUCUCUGAUUGGCCUGCUGCCAACUCUGCUCCAGCUCCCAGGCGAGCACCACCUGUGGAUGCAGAGAUUCUGCGCACCAUGAAGAAGGUGGGCUUCAUUGGCUAUGCGCCCAAUCCUCGCACCAAGCUGCGCAAUCAGAUACCUUACAGGCUCAAGGAGUCAGACAGUGAAUUUGACAGCUUCAGCCAGGUCACUGAGUCACCAGUAGGACGAGAAGAGGAGCCACAUCUCCACAUGGUUUCUAAGAAAUACCGCAAGGUGACCAUCAAAUAUUCCAAGCUAGGGCUGGAGGACUUUGACUUCAAACACUACAAUAAGACCUUGUUUGCUGGAUUAGAGCCCCACAUCCCCAACGCCUACUGUAACUGCAUGAUCCAGGUGCUCUAUUUCCUGGAGCCUGUACGCUGUCUAAUUCAAAACCACCUUUGCCAGAAGGAGUUCUGUCUGGCAUGUGAGCUGGGCUUCCUCUUUCACAUGUUGGACCUCUCUCGUGGUGACCCUUGCCAGGGCAGUAAUUUUCUUCGGGCAUUCCGUACUAUUCCUGAGGCCUCAGCCCUUGGUCUGAUCCUGGCUGACUCAGAUGAGGCUUCAGGCAAGGGCAAUCUGGCCAGGCUCAUUCAGAGGUGGAAUCGCUUCAUUCUCACUCAACUGCAUCAAGAUAUGCAGGAGCUGGAAGUACCACAGGCUUAUCGAGGUGCUGGAGGCAGCUUUUGCUCAUCGGGGGACUCUGUUAUUGGGCAGCUCUUCAGCUGUGAGAUGGAGAACUGCAGCCUCUGCCGCUGUGGCAGCGAGACCGUGCGAGCCUCAUCCACCCUGCUUUUCACACUCUCCUACCCUGAUGAUAAAACUGGGAAGAACUAUGACUUUGCUCAGGUGCUGAAGCGAAGCAUCUGCCUGGACCAGAAUACACAGGCCUGGUGUGACAACUGUGAAAAGUACCAGCCCACGAUUCAGACCCGCAACAUCCGCCAUCUGCCAGAUAUUCUUGUCAUCAAUUGUGAGGUGAACAGCUCAAAAGAGGCUGAUUUCUGGAGAAUGCAGGCUGAGGUUGCCUUCAAGAUGGCAAUAAAGAAACAUGGUGGGGAAAUCUCCAAGAACAAGGAGUUUGCUUUGGCUGAUUGGAAGGAACUAGGGAGUCCAGAGGGUGUGCUGGUAUGUCCCUCCAUUGAGGAGCUGAAGAAUGUCUGGCUUCCUUUCUCCAUUCGCAUGAAGAUGACCAAGAACAAAGGGCUGGAUGUUUGCAAUUGGACUGAUGGGGAUGAGAUGCAGUGGGGCCCAGCCAGGGCAGAGGAGGAGCAUGGUGUCUAUGUGUAUGACCUGAUGGCUACUGUGGUACACAUCCUGGACUCACGCACAGGGGGCAGCCUGGUGGCUCACAUCAAAGUUGGAGAGACCUACCACCAGCGCAAGGAGGGCGUUACUCACCAGCAGUGGUAUCUGUUCAAUGACUUUCUUAUUGAACCUAUUGAUAAGCAUGAAGCUGUGCAGUUUGACAUGAAUUGGAAAGUACCUGCAAUCCUUUAUUAUGUCAAACGGAAUCUCAAUUCCAGAUACAACCUGAACAUCAAGAACCCUAUUGAGGCAAGUGUCUUGCUGGCUGAAGCCUCGCUGGCACGGAAGCAGCGGAAAACACAUACUACCUUUAUUCCACUGAUGCUGAAUGAGAUGCCACAGAUUGGGGACCUGGUGGGUCUGGAUGCCGAGUUUGUCACCCUUAAUGAGGAGGAAGCAGAGUUACGCAGUGAUGGUACCAAGUCUACCAUUAAACCAAGUCAGAUGUCAGUAGCCAGGAUUACCUGUGUCCGGGGCCAGGGACCUAAUGAGGGUAUCCCCUUCAUUGAUGACUACAUCUCUACCCAGGAGCAGGUGGUGGAUUACUUGACUCAAUACUCGGGUAUAAAGCCUGGUGACCUCGAUGCCAAAAUUUCCUCCAAGCACCUAACAACUCUCAAGUCUACCUACUUAAAGCUUCGUUUUCUCAUUGACAUCGGAGUCAAGUUUGUGGGUCAUGGCCUGCAGAAGGACUUCCGGGUCAUCAACCUGAUGGUUUGGCAGGGCUCUUUUAAGAGUCUUCUUGUGAGAGUGGGCCCCUCAGGGUAUACAUUGUGCCUUCAGAGAAUGGGAAAUUAUAGUCCCCUACCUUAAGUCUCUCCCUCUUUUAUCUUUGCCAGGUGCCCAAGGACCAAGUCCUUGAUACUGUCUACCUGUUCCACAUGCCCCGAAAACGAAUGAUUUCCCUGCGAUUCCUUGCUUGGUACUUUCUGGACCUGAAGAUUCAAGGGGAAACCCAUGACAGUAUUGAGGAUGCACGCACAGCCCUUCAGCUCUACCGAAAGUAUCUGGAGCUAAGCAAAAAUGGCACUGAGCCUGAGUCUUUCCACAAGGUGCUCAAGGGUCUUUAUGAGAAGGGCCGAAAGAUGGACUGGAAGGUGCCUGAGCCUGAGGGCCAAACAAGUCCCAAGAAUGCAGCUGUCUUCUCCUCAGUGCUGGCGCUCUGACUACCCUUCCCAAAGAACCACUGCCCUCUCCCUUUACUGUUCUAUAGCCCCAGAACUGGGAGAUGGCUUCCUUAGUUGGCUAUACCUUGUCCACUUCCAGUACUGGACGUGCUCAGGGUCUAGAGUCUCAGAUGGUGCUAUUAAUAGAACUGGAACACAGCAGAAUUGUUGCAAAGGUUCUAGGAGCCAGAUUCAUUCCUUCUUCAUCCUUUGCAAAACAGUGGCACAGAAACGGAGUCUAGAAUUGACCCAGAUGGAAAGUAAUUGGUAUUCUUAAUAUCCUGGUUCACUAAUACCCAGGCAGAGAAGCUCCUGGAACCAUAAUUGUCAGUUCCUAGCUGGCUAGGGAUUGAAGUCCUGGACAGCGACAGAGGAUACCACAGUAGUUCAAGACUUAGCACAAGUCACCAACUGCUUCAGGGAUGCCUGGAGGGGCCAGCAAGUAGAGUGUUGGUGGCCCAAACAAACCAGUGUUGCCAAUACCAUUGCCAAAAGGGCCUUUGGAUCCUGGACAGAGCUUGGCUGCUGGCUUCAUUUAUUCCUGCUGAUGGCUGAGAAGCAUCUGUCUUCCAUCCCACUCUCCUGUCCCAAGUUUUGUUCCGUUUUUAAAAAAUUUGUUGUAAACUGCAUGUUUUAUAAAAUAAAAACAAAAUACCGUUUGUCAUUUAUCUCAUUAGGGAACUGCUAGUGUAGGUUCUCUGGCUUCAGUCUUCCUCUCCUUCCUUUGAAGGUAAAGGUGCGGAAUCCAAAGUUAUGGAUAUGAAAGGGUAUAAUUGGGCCAGGCGCAGUGGGUCACUUCUGUAAUCCCAGCACUUUGGGAGGCCGAGGUGGGUGGAUCAGGAGGUCAGGAGUUCAAGACCAGCGUGACGAAGAUGGUGAAACCCCCGUCUCUAUUAAAACUACAAAAAUUAGCCGGGCGUGGUGGAUGGCGACUGUAAUCCUAGCUGAGGCAGAGAAUUGCUCGAAUCCGGGAGGCGGAGGGUGCAGUGCGCCAAGAUCACGCCACUGUACGCCAGCCUCGGCGAUAGGGCGAGACUCCGUCUCAACAAAAGGAAAAAAAAGGUAUAAUUAUGCCUUUUCUGGGCAAUGCUGGGUCUUUGCUGUAGCUGCCCAGUAACCUACGUGAGACUGAAGAUGUACAGUACGGUUUCCCCGUUAAUUGUGUAAGCCGACAAACUACAGGUCCCAGGAUAGCUUGAGACCUGUAGUUGCUCACAAAGAUGGGUCUGGCGCUGUGGUGCUUCCUGGGAGAUGUAGUUUCCUGUGUAUUGAAACCUGGGCUGCUCGCUGGCCUGCAGAGCACCGUUUUGAAGGUCCUAGCCCACCUGAGUUGGCUCACGCGCACGACUAGCCGCUCCUAUACAGUACACCCGGCCUCUGUCGUCUCUUAAGGCCACUCCUAUUCUACGGCUGACCCCUGGAGGUCACGUGGAGCUGUUCGCCACGCAAGUCUGGGUCCUUCAGCGAUUGACCGGGGUCCUCGCUAUCCAGGAGCCUCUCCCAAGCUGCCUGUUCGCGCGAGAGUUUGGAGGGGCGGGUUUGGGGUCGGUGUCUGAUUGGGGCUCGCACCGCAGCACGCUCGAGCCCCGCUUAGGUACCACUUAGCGCCACGGGAGCUGGGUCAGGCGGUCGCCGGGACACCCCGUGUGUGGCAAGCGGCGAAGCGCUUUGGAGGAUUCCGGACAGCCCUGCUCCCCGCAGCCAGGUGUAGUUUCGGGAGCCACUGGGGCCAAAGUGAGAGUCCAGCGGUCUUCCAGCGCUUGGGCCACGGCAGCGGCCCUGGGAGCAGAGGUGGAGCGACCCCAUUACGCUAAAGAUGAAAGGCUGGGGUUGGCUGGCCCUGCUUCUGGGGGCCCUGCUGGGAACCGCCUGGGCUCGGAGGAGCCAGGAUCUCCACUGUGGAGCGUGCAGGGCUCUGGUGGAUGAACUAGAAUGGGAAAUUGCCCAGGUGGACCCCAAGAAGACUAUUCAGAUGGGAUCUUUCCGGAUCAAUCCAGAUGGCAGCCAGUCAGUGGUGGAGGUAACUGUUACUGUUCCCCCAAACAAAGUAGCUCACUCUGGCUUUGGAUGACAAUUCGACUGCUUAAAAAGGACCUUAGUUUAAUAGAAAUGAAGAAAAUAGACUCAGA